rnacentral:rRNA from 1 species
UGGGGAAUAUUGGACAAUGGGCGAAAGCCUGAUCCAGCCAUGCCGCGUGUGUGAAGAAGGUCUUCGGAUUGUAAAGCACUUUAAGUUGGGAGGAAGGGCAUUAACCUAAUACGUUAGUGUUUUGACGUUACCGACAGAAUAAGCACCGGCUAACUCUGUGCCAGCAGCCGCGGAAAUACAGAGGGUGCAAGCGUUAAUCGGCAUUACUGGGCGUAAAGCGCGCGUAGGUGGUUUGUUAAGUUGGAUGUGAAAUCCCCGGGCUCAACCUGGGAACUGCAUUCAAAACUGACUGACUAGAGUAUGGUAGAGGGUGGUGGAAUUUCCUGUGUAGCGGUGAAAUGCGUAGAUAUAGGAAGGAACACCAGUGGCGAAGGCGACCACCUGGACUAAUACUGACACUGAGGUGCGAAAGCGCGGGGAGCAAACA